UGAGGACAAGGGCCGGUGAUCAUGCAGCUUCCGCCAGCUGCUCAUAGAACAACUCAUCUGUCUCUUCAUCCUGGUUUAGCGGUCUAUAACAGAGGCCCACCAGGAUGUCUGCCUUGUCAGCUCUUCCCCUGAUCUUAACCCAUAGGGAUUCAACCUUAUCAUCUCCAGCCAUAAGCUCAGUAACAUGAAAGCACUCUCUAACAUAGAGAGCCACCCCACCACCCCUCCUUCCUUGCCUAUCCUUCCUGAAGAGUUUGUAGCCAUCCAUCGCAGCACUCCAGUCAUGAGAGUGGUCCCACCGUGUUUCCAUAAUGGCAAAUAGGUCAUAGCUUGCCCGUUAAACAAUGGCUUCCAACUCUUCUUGUUGUCCAUGCUGCAUGCAUUGGUAUAGACACACAUCAGCUGAGCCCCUCACCUCACCCCUAAUCCCAUUAUCGCUCCCCCAGGCUCAUCUCUAGCAGGCCUGGUUUUAUUCCUUUCCCCCUUCAUAUCUAGUUUAAAGCCCUUUCUACAGGUCCUGCCAGCUCCUGGGCAAGGAUCCGUUUCCUGCUUUGAGACAGGUGAUACCCAUCUGCAGAACUCAGGCCAGGUGCCGAGUAGACCGCCCCAUGAUUAAAGAACCUGAAAUUCUUGCGUUUGCACCCACCUCUAAGCCAUGUGUUUAUGUGAUGGGCAUUCCAGGUCAUUGCAUUGUCCUUCUCUGCCACUGUAGGAAUACCUGCAAAUACUACUUGUAUGCCUGCUCUGUCAACUAAUCUCCCCAGUCCCCUAAAAUCAUUUUUUAUAGCCCUCAGGCUUCUGACAGCAACCUCAUCACUGCCAGCCUGAACUAACAAUAACAGACGGUAAUCAGAGGGGUGGAGAGUAUAUGAGAAUAUAAACCAAGAAUAUAUGAGAGUAUACAACAAGAAAUUUGAUCCUUUGCUUACAUCCCCCGUAGCAAUGGCUGUGCUUUGUCUUCUCCUCCACAGCAACACAGUGCUCCCCUGACACCCCACAGUCAAGAUUAGGGCCCACACACGGCACCAAAGGCACACACUUCUGCCACUUGAGCUCAAGCUACCUUUACUAGAAAUGCAAGUAAGAAGCAGGUUGGGACAGUGAGCGGGAGGCACAGUAGGACGGAGCUACGAUCCUAUAGACACACUGCCCAGGGCUUGCGUUGGCUCCUGCCACCCAGAUCAGCCCCCGUCCUGUGGCUGAUUAUGCAGAAAGCAC
ensembl:lncRNA